rnacentral:misc_RNA from 1 species
UAGCAUUCCAUGUAGACUUUUGGCACUGCAUGGUCGAAACCAAAACAACACCAAUUGUCGUUCGCACAUGGCGUGGGACGCCUUUUAGGGGCAAAUAGAGACCGGUGAUGCCUCGUACCCGCGAGGUAUUCAAAUGACCGUGAGAACGAACGUCAUGCCAUCCAUCCAACAACCCAAGAACAUCGAAGAAAUCGGGGGUUGGAUCAUGGCAUUUGCUUCGAAGUUCACCUCGUACCGCUAGUAGCAACUUAAGGCGAAAGGGGCA